ACUGGCCAUUGAAGGAUGAAGACCAAGUUGGUUUAUCGAGAUUGAAUAAUGAUAUUGAGUGAAGAACAGUUGUAGGAAAGUUGAAGGUUGCUCACUAAUGUUGAAGGAGUUGAUAAUUUGGACAGCUUCAUAUGG